ACGCUCGACAUCUACGGAGGCAGCAGUGGGGAAUAUUGCACAAUGGGGGAAACCCUGAUGCAGCGACGCCGCGUGGAGGAAGAAGGUCUUCGGAUUGUAAACUCCUGUUGUUGGGGAAAAAGAGGAUGGUACCCAACAAGGAAGUGACGGCUAACUACGUGCCAGCAGCCACGGUAAUCUGAGCGGGCUGGCAAGGC
rnacentral:rRNA from 1 species